rnacentral:lncRNA from 1 species
UUAUCUUAUUUUAGGUGGCAUUGAAGCCCUGAAAAAGACUUGUGGAUAUUUAACCAUAAUGUACAUUUAAAUAUCUGUGUUGUGUUGACGGCUACAUACCGUACAGACAGUACCCAAACAAAACAUUUGUACAUUAGCAUUACAUGAAGUACUUUAUUCCAAAGAAAACUUUUUUUUUUUUAAAUGUCUAGCCACGAAUGACUAUUAAAAUGAAGAAAAUAACAUGGGUAUACUGUAAAAACCAUACAAAUGUCAUUGCAUAUUAAAAUGCUGUUUAGUUUUUAUGUUUCCUAUGGCUCUUUCCAUUGCCUAAAUCUACAAAAGCAGGUGUUUUGAAUGGAAAGUUUAGAACACUUUUAUCAGGCAUCCUGUUGAACACCACUUCCUGUACCUUAUACCUGGUACAUACUGCAAUAUGAUGGCACAUCCCGCUGUGACACCAGUGGUGCAAGUGUCUUUUUUAAUCAAGAAAAUUCCUAGAGCUAACCAAUUCAUAUAGUUGAAACAUAGGGGAUCUGGACACAUUUGGACAGGAUGCUAAUCUUAGCCCACUUCGCAUUGCUGCUUAUUUGGGGAAGCCAAGGUAAAAUAAAUUCCUCAACUUUUUUACUUGAUGUGUUUUCAGUUUCUGGCAAAAAGAUGAUAAUCAAAUGUCCUCAAGCUAUAUAUUUAUAUCCACGGCCUACUAACUGAAGAAUUGUUGCCUUAAUUUAUGCCCUUUUCAUUAGAUUCAGAAACCUGUACCGACCUGCAGAAACAGCAUGAAGUCAUCCAUGCAGCAGUUGGAGAGCCUUUAGUGUUGAACUGCACCUACAACUGCUCCUCUGGAUUUGUCCAUGGACACUGGGUCAAACUCUCAGACUGUCCUCAUUGUCCUAGGCCAAGGGAAACAAAAAAUGUCACAAAGAAUGGUGACCUCUGCACACUACCAUUGUAUUUUCCACAUCUGUCCAGGGAAGAUUUUCAGUACAACUAUACCUGCUUUUCUGAAGAUCAUGAAAGCGAACAGUUCCCACGCAAGAUAGAGUGUCUGGUAUCACUGCAGGCACAAGCUCGACCUAGUGCCCCGGACACAACGGACACUACUGAUGAAUCGCUGACAGCGUUGGGUAACCAUGAGGACUCAAUAAUAGAUCACGGAAAACCUGCUGUUAUCUGUACAGGGUAUGUUUUUUUUCUUCAUACAUUGUGGUAUGUUUGCUAAGGCAUUUUAACACACUUUUCAUUGGCAAUUAGUAUGUGGAAUUUGUUUAUUGGUCUUUUAUCAGCACAACAUCAAGAGAAGGAUCAGGUAAAUAUUUGUUUAAUUUGACAAAAUUGCUAUCACAACCAGUUCACUCAAUGUUGUGAAUUGUAAUUCUAAUAGGUUACUUCAUAUCUUAUAGGUGCAUGCUCAACCAAUUGUGAGAGGGUGGCACUGCGAAUAACUCCGGCUGGUAAGCUAAUGGAAUGUACCAUUUAUUUCAGUUGCUAAGCUGGGUGUGUAAUAACAACAUCUACUGUACAAAACAUUGCAUUUCCUGUUUUGAGCUAGAUUGCCAGAGUGAUCAUGAGGUUCCUUACGCUGACAUCAUGAUUACUAUGCGAGGGGCCAGCACACCAGAGCUCACACAGAUCUCCUACCUAGCUCUGGGGGACCAUAGAGAGGUGAGGAUUGGAAACAAUCGCUUUGUGAUUUCUGUGUGAAAUAGAAAGUGGUCUACAAAUAAAAUAUCUAUU